CAGGUCACUCUUUAUUUCCCGAAGAAAAUCGAGGCGGUUGCGGCCCACCCGACACAAACUGUUCCCUCCCAGGUGAAUAAUGAGAAUAUCUGGAGCUGGAGCUUUGGCCCUGAGAGAGCGCAGAGCUGGAAACAGCUGCUCCCAGAGUCUGCCUCCUCUGCCGUCCCAGGUGAUCUCACACUGAAGACCGAGGUUUCCGUCCAGGCGCUGCUCACAGAAGCGAGUAUGCAGUGUGCGGAUGAUGGAACUGCCGACGAUCCAAACACGUGAAGCCAUCUCAAAGACGAGUGAGGGAAUGUGAUUUACAACCGGUAUUUAUGAGUGUUGCACGUUUGGUUCCUAAAGGUG